ensembl:lncRNA
UGUGACUGCCUCCUGCACCUGUUGACCACCUUCCUCCUCUGAGGUGCUGGAUGGGCACUCCCUGGGGAAGGGACGUGUCCUCAACACAAAGAUGGCUCCUGCUGUCGCCAGCUGAAAUGUGGCGAAUAGAUACAUUCUAUUGCAGAAGAAUGGUGGCAAAUAAGUGAAUUCAAAAGAGCAAAUCAGCCUGAGCCAUAAGCCUAGUAAAGAAAAUAAGGCUUUUCUUUGAUGAGGUUUUGUUAAACAUACUUUAGGACAAAACUAUUUGUAACAGUGUUAUCAGACCAAUACUUAGCACAGUUCCUGGUAAGGGCGAGGGAUCAAGGAUGAUGGGGAAAGAAAGCUAAAUGAUGAUGUAAAUGCUUGUAUGGGAACUGCUGAGUCACAGCCUGAACCACUGAUUGAUCACCUGAGGACCCCAUUUAAGGGCUGACUGCCACUGGGGAAGGAUCUCUUUCUGGUGAUCUGUCCUUUGUAGAGCUUUUCAUUGUGAGCCUAAAUCUUUGGAUACAGGUCUAAGGAUUUGAAGGGCUUCAACUGAGUCACACAACUCUGAUGGUAGCGGUGCCCAAUCUUCAGCUGUUGCAUCAGCAAAAGAAUGGAAUCAGGACACAAAAGCUGUCGCAUCAGAAGCAGAUGUUGGUGGUACGGCAGUAGAGGCUGAACCUUUCCACCAGUAUUUCCUUCCAUUCUGUUGCCAUGUGACAGAUGGCAGCAGAGGCGGCGUCUGACAUGAAAGUGCGGGUGAAGCAAAGGUGUCCCUGAAUUCCUCUGUGCAGAAAAAAAUGGCACCUAUUGACAUUCACCAAUGCUUGCUGAACGUUGAUGGAGACCAAACAGUGGACGUGAGCACACAGUGAGGCAGUGGGUGAUGUGUUUCAGCAGUGGUGACAGCAACAUGAAAGACAAGCCAUGUUUCAGAUGGCCACGCACAGCUGUCACACCACUGAAUGAAGAGCAUCUCAAUCACCUAACCCAGGUGAACUGGUGGAUUUCAGAGUACUGUGUACAGAACUGAAUACCAUCUUAAAUGUGUUGGAAACAAUGGUGGCAAUAUUGGAAUAUCACAAAGUUUGCAGCAGGUGGGUCUCAUGAUUGCUCACACUGGAACAGAAAGAACACUGUAUGCAACUUUGUCAGGACCUACUGAACCAACACAAGGCUGAAGGUGACGGUUUCCUGGUUUCAUUACCAGUAACAAGUUGUGGUGUUACCCUAAGAGCUGGUGUCAAAAUGGCAGUUCAGGGAGUGUCAAUGUGAAUUCCCCAUUGAAGAAAAAGUGCACUGUGCAGCCCUCAGCAUUUAAAGUGAUGUGCACUGUCUUUUUGAGAUAGGAAAGGGGUAAUCCUUUUUGGAGUUCCUGGAACACAGGCAAACCAUCAACUCUGACGGCUACAUCACAAUGCUGACUAAGCUGACGUUCAACUUUCCAGAGUCAGGCCAGAGAAGAAGACGAGGUUUCUCUUGCAACACGAUAAUGCCAGGCUUCAUUCCAGUUUGAAGACUGUGGAGCACUCUGCCAAUCCUGUCUGGACUGUCCUACCACACCCACCAUACAGCCUGGAUUUGGCACCUUUUGAGUUCCAUCUGUUUGGGCUGAUGAGAGAUGGACUGCAUAGGCAACAUUUUCCUAGCAAUGACAUCAUCAUAGCAGCCAUGAAACAGUGGGUCAGCUCCCCUGGUGCAGAUCUUUACGAGCACAGCAUGCAGGCUCUUGUUCAUCACUGGUAAAAAUGGCACAGCUAAUGGUGGUGACUAUGUUGAAAAAUAGAGCAAAUUCUCAGCUCCAAAACACUAUCAAAUAGUGUUCUUCUGCUGUUUGUUGUGCUUUCCAUGAAAAUAAAUCGGAG